rnacentral:lncRNA from 1 species
UAUGUAUAUAUAUAUAUAUAUAUAUAUAUACUUCUACUUCAUCCUUUUUAACUGCUACAUAGAAUUCCAUAAUAUGGACUUAAUAGGGUUUUUUAUUGAAUCAUUUCUUAAUUUGUUUCCUUUUUCAUGAUUAAAAAUGAUUCCACAGUAAACACUCUCGUGCAAGCCUCUGCAUGUGGGAGUAUUUUUCCAAAUUAGAAGCUUGGAGAUGGAAUUACAUGAUUCAAGAAACCAGAGUGAAGUUAAUUAAACAUAGCUAAAAUUAUAAAUGUUUGGUAUUGCUUCAACGAGCCUUUUAGCUAAAAGAAGCAGCUUUGUAAAACCAGCUACAGAAUGCAAGCUGGUCUAAGCAAGACCUUAUUCUCUUUUCUGUGCAAAAUACCCAUAAAGUCAAGCCCUGGAAUAGCUUCAGGUGUUCUGCAAAAUGGCUUACAUAUGUAAUUAAUAAAGCCCACGAAUCUACUCCCCCUUACUCGCAGCAGUUUGGAUGUAAUGCACAUUAAAGGUUUGCCGGGAGGGGACUUGUGAAUUGGCCUUUGCUUCCAAGGCACCCUGAACCCUUAUGUGGAAGAAUAUUCACUCAACAAUCAUUCUCUCACUUCAACACAUACAGUACGUGUGCACAUAGUACUACUACCACUACCACCAAUAAUAAUAAUAAUAAUAAUAAUAAUAAUAAUAAUAAUAAUAAUAGAAGUUUGCCAUUCAGAUGGGCACCAUGAGGUUCCUCCUGAAGAUCUCUCUCUUUAUGUGUAAAGUAUCUAUGUUGCCUCAAGUCUGUUUUCUUUCCCCUAUGGACUUUAUCAUUUUUGCCCCGACUAAUAAGAAAGAGUUUGUCACAAGCUUUUUUUUUUUUUCCUGGUAGUUUGCUAGUCUUCUGAAUUCACUGCAGUGUUUUUGUAGCACAGCAGUUUUUCAUAUUUUUUUUAGGAUCCGCUAUAUUUCAAAAGUAGAUUUCUGUGAUUUUUUUCUCUCCCAAUUUAGCACUUUCCUCCAUCUUGAUCCAUAAUGUUGAAAGUCAGCCUCUGAACAGAAUGUCGAAUGUAAGGUCUGAUUUCCAGUCAUUAUUUGUUAAACAUUUCAACCUUGACCCAGUCAUGUGACACGGAAUCUUUACCUAUACAUUUCUCGUGUAUAUAAUGACUUCUUGGUCUUUUAUUCUGUUUAGUUGGGUCAUUGAUUUUUCUGUUUGGUGCUAUCCUGUCAUUUAGAUAAGCCAUUUCCCAUGAUGGUCUCAUCAAUAAAGAUUUUCUAUUAUUUAUUUUUCUGCAUUUUCCUUGUUCAUGAGUUUCAGAAAUAUUUUGUCAAGUACGACAACAAAUUGUAUUUCAUCUUUUACUGAGUUGUAGAAAAUUAAUAAUGUCGCUUCCCGUCCAGUUCUCCAUAUUUUCAUACUAUAGGGACUUACUAAACAUCUAAAUUGUGUGCUUUAUUUUGUGCUUUUUAUUAUUAGGAAAGGACUUUCCUUCACACUGCAAUCUCUACUCCCCUGCUUCUCUUACGGGUCUCUCUCAGGUUGGCUGACUUUGAUCUCGCUGAUUUCUGCCUUAGGUUACCUUUCUACAAGGGUUUUAAUAUACUCUGAAAACUCUCUUCUUUAUUCCUAACAGAGAAAAAUGGCAAGACUUAUUCCAUUCUUAAGACUAAUAGUUGGACCUUCCCCUACACUGUUGUGGUAAUAAUCAUACUGAUUGUUCUUUUCUAUAGUUGGAACACCAUAUUUCACAUUAUACAUAACGUUUAUUAUAGAUCGUAACUGAGCUUCUGAAUUUUAUAAACGGUUUCUUUUGUUACAUAGAUGACUAGUAAUGCAUUAAUUUGCUGAAUUAUGUUAUUACUCUUAGAUGCUAUAGUCUUGACUCUAACUCUUCCUGGCAUGAGCUCAGCCUGUCAUGUCUUUCUUUUAACGGACUACUGUGUUUGCCAUUAUUUUACUUAAGAGCCUCAAUACACACUGUUCUAUGCCUCUCUGAUUCUCAUGAUUCUUGCUAAGUUUUAGUCACAGAUUUAUACUAGUCUAAAAUAAAUAGUUUGGU